AUUGAACGCUGGCGGCAGGCCUAACACAUGCAAGUCGAGCGGCGAGGCGGACGGGUGAGUAAUGCCUAGUAAUCAGCAUGGGAGUGAGGGAUGACGUCCGGAAACGGACGCUAAUACCGCAUACUAUCAGAUGAGCCUAGGUCGGAUUAGCUAGAUGGUGGGGGAAAGGCCUACCAAGGCGACGAUCCGUAACUGGUCUGAGGGGAUGAUCAGUCACACUGGAACUGAGACACGGUCCAGACUCCUACGGGAGGCAGCAGUGGGGAAUAUUGGACAAUGGGCGAAAGCCUGAUCCAGCCAUGCCGCGUGUGUGAAGAAGGUCUUCGGAUUGUAAAGCACUUUAAGUUGGGAGGCGUUACCAACAGAAUAAGCACCGGCUAACUCCGUGCCAGCAGCCGCGGUAAUAC
rnacentral:rRNA from 1 species